GCGACGAAUGAAGUCCCGCACGGUCUUUGUGUUGAUCUUUGGCAGAGGAAUGCCAGCUUUGCACAGAACUGGAUCCUCCACCAAAAUCCGGUGCUGGAUUCGCUGGUACACCUUUAAGAUAAAGGUCUUCUCAGGGCUGGUGCGAGACCCUUGAGGUGAGUGCAGCCACAACAGUUUCACCAGUGUGUACAUCAUUCUGUUGUGCUGGAGCGUACCGCUUGGCCAUCUUCACCCGCUGUACUACAGUAGCCUCGAAGGGGUCAUCUCUUUUAGUGCGGCAGUAAAGGGUGUUGCCCCAAUGUGAUUUGUACAGCUGGUUGAACUGCUGUGGAUGUUUGUCAUGCUCUUCCAUGGCAUUCCAGGCUUCAAGCACCCUGUUCCGCUGCUCUGUGCUAAGUGACAGCUUGUCGUCUACCAAGCCAAUCUCCACCAGCACAGAGCAGAACCUUUCCAGCUUUUGAAAGCCAGGAAGAGGAUUUUGGCUGCAGGCGUCCUCCUUUAAAAAAACAAAAGACAUACGAAUGUGGAUAACCAGAACAGAGAAAGCCGGAUCCAGGGAUGCAAGCCGAGAGGCGCUCUAUCAAUGAAAACCGAGCUGAGGCACCAGAAGGAAUAGGCGAGAGACAAGGUUGAAAAACAGGCAGGGAAGUCGUAAGCCGGGGGGUCAGUCCUACAAGGAGGCGCGGGACAGGAAUACACAAGGGCACAGGCACGGGAACGAGACGAGCCGGAGCAGGCAGGGUAGAGGGGUCAGGUGCGGGAACGGGUCUGGAACGGGAUAGAGAGAGGGGUAAGGAGAGGACACGAGGCAAACAGGCAGGGUCUGGUAGCAGGGAGAGACAAUCGACAAGAAAGUGCUUAGCAAGGCUUCUAAUCAUCAGCGCAAUACUUCGCACUGGGCUGGUGACUUCUGGCUGGCUUUAUACCUAGGGUCAGUACACUUAAUGAGCCUCUGCUGGUGGUGUCCGCCUGUGGGGGUGUAACAGUACCCCCCCCCGACGGCUGCCUCCCGGAGGCCGAAGACGCUUGCGGGGCCGACCCCGAGGGCGCGGAGCAGGGCGGGAGGGGUGAGACUGGUGAAGGGGUGUGACUGGUCUUGAGGUCUGGGUCGUCAAUCGCGCUGGCCGGCAACCAGCUACUGUCCUCCCGGGAUUCCCCCUCCCAGUGGACCAGAUACUGGAGUUGACCCUUCUGGUGGCGAGAAUCCAGGAUGGAGCGGGCUCGUGGGGCCGGGUCCACCUCAGGCACAUCCUCUGGGGAGUCGUCCAGCGGAGGGACAUCGGGCCGUAGGGAACUGAACUUCACCGCUUUCAGCAGUGAGGCAUGAAAGGUAGGGCAGAUGCGAUCGACUUUAGGGAGUUGUAAACGAUAAGCCAUGGGUCCCACUCGCCUCAGGAUACGGAAGGGUCCGAGGAACCGCGCGGUCAACUUCUUACACUCUGGGAGACGUAGAUUCCGUGUCGACAGCCACACCAACUGACCCACCCGAUAAGUGGGUCCCGCCGGAUGGAUAGACAGUGGAAGUUUCAUCGCUGCUCGUCGGAAGGGACAUCAGCAGGGGUCCGGAAAUUCUCUUCCACAGUCUCACCAAACAGCUGCUGACAGCGGGUGUUGAGGCGGUCGAUCAGCGGUGCAGAGUAGGUCCUGUGGUGCCGUCCUCUGCCACCAAACACGGCAUCCGAGCUCCUGUCCGAGUUCCACCGCACAAUGCCGCUUAGCAGGUAAACCUGAUAGGGCUGCGCUGCGCAGUGAGGACCUGGACAUGACAAUAAAAUGUAUAACGGUGUUGGAAUAAUAACAGGCCCAUGUUUCAUUUGUUAGAAGUGAUCAGACUACACGCUCAUACCUGGAAUCAUGUGCGGCAGAGCUUUGUGGAAUCCUUCCAGGCUGUUGCUUCCACGCAGACAUUUGUAAUAGGGCACAUCCACAUUGCUGAUGGUUGUUACGUGCAACCCUAUACAUGCUCAUGUCUGGUGGAUCCUGGAUGCCCUCCAGAUGCCGCUGCUGCUCCGCCCAGAUCUCAUCAAUGGCCACUGUAAAUGUAUACAAAUGCAUACAAUGUAAAUGUGUAAAAUAGAUACAUCCCGUGUUUUAUGCUUCACUUCUCACACUACUGGCAUUUGUGUUGUAAUAGCUUUUUUUUCCAUACCUGGUGUUUUGAAGAGCCUCACUCCAUUCUCAUCCAGACCGGCGGGACCUUUAAGCUCCUCGAUGGCCAGGUGGAUGAGCUGGAAUGUUUCCUGAGCGCCGAGUGUGACCCUCCGUACAUGAUGUUUCAGCUGCUCCCUGGAUAUGUAGAGCCGCACUACAUCCUCGUCUGACACGGACUUCAGCGCUGCCGGGUCCUUGGCCCUGACCGCCUUGAUGAGCAGCUCCAAGUCCGUGCGGUUGUACGCCAGCACUGCCCCAGCUACAGCAGACUUGAAAAUGGCGUACUAGCAGUGAGACUGUUCGGAUGGCUGCGUCAAACCGGUGGAUCCAAUGGAAAAUGUCCAGACGCACAACCAUCCCACUGUCCACCCAAGGCUGGAACAUGACAGAUUUCAUACUGUAAUAUGCCUCUCAUUUGUUUAUUUUUUGGCUUUGUUCUUUACAGUAACUUUUCUGGAGUACUGAAUAUGGCAAACAUGACUGAUAACUAAUAUGUAACAACUGCACAGUAUACAAAUAUUUUUGGUAGACGACCAUACUUUUUUUUUAUUAUAGUCUUACAGUUUCUACUUUGCAUGCCAACAACUAUUUUGAGUGUGUUGGAGAAAGCGGCAAAGCUUUACACUCCAAAUCAUAUAUGUUGGAGAAAGCGCUAGGCUUUGCACCCCAACUCUGCAUACACUAUGAAUUACGAGACAACACGCUUUAAAGUUUUACUUGCGCAAGGGUACCCACACUUUCAGCAGAAUGUGCUACAAAGGGUGGUUCUCCUUGGCUCCUUUAUUUAGUCAGUGGGAGGCGCAGGGGUCUCGCAAAAUAGGGAGGUGAGCAAGAAGAGAAAGUUCUGGUUUUGCUUAGGUGGGCAGCUGUUGAGCACAUACUCAGGGUAUGUGCAAGCUGAAUGCUAUUAUUAAUAUAAUCUAAAGUAUGAGGCUAGAGGAAAACAAAAUAAUGUAUAUACAUAUUUACACUCAUUGCUGAUUAUACAGAAAUGAUAACAAAUGAUUAAUAAGUUUCUUCAACCUAACAGAGUGGUAGUGUUUUCAUUUCAUUGAGUUUAGAUAGAAUUUUAGGGUUUGUGCUUAGUGGAUUGAUCAAAGGAGAGGAGAUUUUAGGAAAUGUUUUAGCAAUUCAGAAAAACUGUAAAAUGUCAGACUACUUUGAAAGUGGGUGAGAGGCCUCAGACUCCAAAGGGUUACAGUAAAUACUUAUUAUGCUAUGUUUCUUUUAUGUUCCUCUUUUUGAGUCUGGUACUAUGACAAAAAAUUCCCAAUCUAUCUAUCCAGUGCUACUUUAUCAUUCCAUCCUCUUUGCGCAAUGUAGUGAUGUAAAGUGCUGUCAGCAAAACAGCAUGAUACUACCACCACCCUGCUUGACCAUUGGUUCAGUGUUCUUAGGUUAAGAAAGCAACCUCACCUUGAUCCCCUGCAAACAUAUCUCUUUUCAUUGUGGCCAAGCAGAGAAGUUAAUGACACAUUCACACGUCAUUGUGACUGCCCCACAUCCCCACCCCGUGAAUAUGCAGCCAUCAGCAGCCUUUCAGACUGUUAGCCAGACAGAACACACUAAGGAAUGUGUCUGUUUUAUUCAAGCACAGUACAGAACCAUACGUUUUUUUAUUUUUCAUUUUCCACUCUGUCCACCUUUAUUCUCCACAAUCAACCGUAUUACUUUGUUUAGGCCUGUAAUUAGUCUGUUACACACAUCUUGGGUCACUCUCCUCUCCCAACAUAACUCUUGCUUGGACAUGCUGCUGCUUUGUAUCUGGCUUGGCCUCCUUGCAGAUGAAGUAUUUCAUCAUGUGCCAAACGAGCUUAAAAUCUGUUUAAUUUUCAUAUACCACACUGUCCCUCAUUGCUUGACAAUAUCAAUCUUAUUACUUUGUUUCAGUCUGUAAUUAUUAUACUGCACACAUCAUGGGUCCGCCUCAUCUCCAAAA